UACGUAGGGGGCAAGCGUUGUCCGGAAUCACUGGGCGUAAAGCGUGCGUAGGCGGUUUGUUAAGUUCGGGGUGAAAGUCCAAGGCUCAACCUUGGGAAUGCCUUGAAAACUGGCAGACUUGAGUACUGGAGAGGCAAGGGGAAUUCCACGUGUAGCGGUGAAAUGCGUAGAGAUGUGGAGGAAUACCAGUGGCGAAGGCGCCUUGCUGGACAGUGACUGACGCUGAGGCACGAAAGCGUGGGGAGCAAACAGG
rnacentral:rRNA from 1 species